rnacentral:rRNA from 1 species
AUAAAGUAGCAAUACUUUGGUGGCGAUCGGCGCACGGGUGAGUAACGCGUAUGCAACCCAUCUAUCAGAGGGGAAUAACCCGGCGAAAGUCGGACUAAUAUCGCAUAAAACAGGGACACCGCAUGGUGAUAUUUGUUAAAGAAAUUCGCUGAUAGAUGGGCAUGCGUUCCAUUAGGUAGUUGGUGAGGUAACGGCUCACCAAGCCGACGAUGGAUAGGGGAACUGAGAGGUUGGUCCCCCACACUGGUACUGAGACACGGACCAGACUCCUACGGGAGGCAGCAGUGAGGAAUAUUGGUCAAUGGGCGAGAGCCUGAACCAGCCAAGUCGCGUGAAGGAAGAAGGAUCUAUGGUUCGUAAACUUCUUUUGCAGGGGAAUAAAGUGCAGGACGUGUCCUGUUUUGUAUGUACCCUGAGAAUAAGGAUCGGCUAACUCCGUGCCAGCAGCCGCGGUAAUACGGAGGAUCCGAGCGUUAUCCGGAUUUAUUGGGUUUAAAGGGUGCGUAGGUGGUUUGAUAAGUCAGCGGUGAAAGUUUGCAGCUUAACUGUAAAAAUGCCGUUGAAACUGUCGGACUUGAGUGUAAAUGAGGUAGGCGGAAUGCGUGGUGUAGCGGUGAAAUGCUUAGAUAUCACGAAGAACUCCGAUUG